AUUGAACGCUGGCGGCAGGCCUAACACAUGCAAGUCGAGCGGGGUUUUCGGACCUAGCGGCGGACGGGUGAGUAAUGCGUAGGAAGCUGCCCGAUAGAGGGGGAUACCAGUUGGAAACGACUGUUAAUACCGCAUAAUGUCUACGGACCAAAGUGUGGGACCUUCGGGCCACAUGCUAUCGGAUGCGCCUACGUGGGAUUAGCUAGUUGGUGAGGUAAUGGCUCACCAAGGCGACGAUCUCUAGCUGGUUUGAGAGGAUGAUCAGCCACACUGGAACUGGGACACGGUCAAGACUCCUGAGGGAGGAAGCAGUGGGGAAUAUUGGACAAUGGGCGCAAGCCUGAUCCAGCCAUGCCGCGUGUGUGAAGAAGGCCUUCGGGUUGUAAAGCACUUUCAGCGAGGAGGAAGGGGUGUGUGUUAAUAGUACACACCUUUGACGUUACUCGCAGAAGAAGCACCGGCUAACUCUGUGCCAGCAGCCGCCGUAAAAC
rnacentral:rRNA from 1 species